UUUCGUCCUCCAGGGAAAGACGGCGAGACAAUCAAUUCUGUAUUCCCCUCCUCGUGAACCAGCAUCCAUCAUAGACAGUCUAUGUCAGUCAUCCGUUAACAUCUGCUUACCUGCCCAUCUUGUACUCAUUCGAUUUGUAGCCCAGGUGUUUGAUCAGACACCGCACGCCUUCUGCUGCCGUACCUUUCCAGUUGGGCCAGGUGUCAGGACACAGAGGCUUAUACCUGAGCACAGACGAAUAACACACACUCACACACAGCUUCGUGUUUGAUACCAGCUGCAGCUGCUGUGUAUGUGGCCACACAGAGAAACAUGAGAGCGUAUUUUAUGUCAUCUGCAAGAAAAAGAGUAAAUUCAUAUGCCUUUUGAUUGAAAGAGCAAGAAGAGCAGUGUAAUAGCAUGUGUGCUUCAGUACCUCUGCAGGAAGAUCUCGUAUUUGCGGCGGUAAGCAAAUCCAGCGCGCCUGACCCUCAGGUGCUCCAUCAGCCCCAGGUACUUCACCUGAUGCCUCACCAACACGUCAUCAAAGCGCCCUGCAGGAGACGCCGAGACGCUGGGGUUCAUGGGUCAAAAGUAUCUGGUCCUAACUGACAACUAACAAAGGUUUUCAGGUCUCCUCUUGCUGUCCGGCUCAGUGGAGGGGAAACAGUGCCUGAUGAUGGCAUUUUUGGACUGUCGCAUGACCUUAAGAAAAACAGGAAACCUGUAUCAUCACGUCAGACACAUGUCCCUUUCAUAGCGAUGCAAUGAAGGUGAGAUCUGUGGCUUCUCCGGGACGUAAACAUUCCUCGUCCUGUGUGAGAGGACCUGCACCAGAUAACUGUAGUGCUGGCAGUUCCUCUGAAGGCCGAGCCAGCGGAGAAGAUCGUCCUCCCCUCCGUCCACCAGCUGAUAGAAGAUGUGAAAGUUUCUCUCUCCGUGGUUCUGGUGGACCACGCGGGACUUCUCCAGCAGGUAGCUGAGGAUGUGGCCACCGACUGCGCCACCCUGAGGAAGAAAGGUCAAGGUGUGACAGUUUAGGACUUUGCUCUGUUAUACUGCUAUAUGAAGAAGAUUUUUUUUUAUCUACCUGGUGGUCAAACUGGAUGUCCAUGUAUUUCCCAAAGCGGCUUGAGUUGUCAUUCUUCAGGGUUUUGGCAUUUCCAAAAGCCUGUAAGUUAUAAAAGAAUAAAUAAAUGAAAUGCCUGAUUUUAAAAUCCCAUUUUUCUCUAAAAUAGUUGUACACAGCAUGAACUUUGUCACACAUGUCCAAGUCACUGACCUCAAGCACUGGAUUGGAGAGGAGUAGUCUGUCUCGAAUGUUGUUUAGGAGUCUGGUACUCGGGCAGCUCACAGCGUAGUACUGAAGGAUUUUCUUGGAGG